rnacentral:misc_RNA from 1 species
AAAAAAAAAAAAAUGCAAACUCAACAAACCCAAUAGAAAAUGAAUCAAAAUUAACUACAAAUCAACAAGUUCCAAAAAUUCUAGGAUUCAAAAACAAGAUUACAAAUCGACAAUUUCCAAGAAUCAACAAUCAUCAUUCUUUUCAUGCCUAGACUCCACUCCUUACGCAAAGAUCUCUAGUGAAAUUAGAUAUAUGGCAACUGAUAAUGAGGUUUAACAAACCUGAUUUAAUCCUUGUGCAAUUAUUUAUCAUAGACAAAUCAAGCUAGCGAAAAUCUAAGACCCUUAAAAUGCUUGAAAUGAAAAAUUGUAGUAAGGUUAUAGUCGUUGGCAAAAUCAAGCUGAACUUGAAGUGAAACUAAGUAGUAACCAUUUCCAAAAUCUUUGAUUAUAAGCCGAGACUUCCAUGGCUUCCUUGAAAGAUCAGUCUCAAAGUAAUCCCUAGCUAAACAGCGAGGAUUCAUGGAAUCAUCCUUUGCUUGGAAAAUAAAUUCAUGAUUAUUCACUAUGAUCAACUUAAUUGAAUUGUGGUUGUGGGUUUUGUUUUGGGUUUGGGGAAUUUUCUUCUUGGCAAGGCGCGCUAUACGGUGAGUGCUAAAAG